GACGAACGCUGGCGGCGUGCUUAACACAUGCAAGUCGAACGAUGAAACCUAGCUUGCUAGGUCGAUUAGUGGCGAACGGGUGAGUAACACGUGACUAACCUGCCCCUUUCUCUGGGAUAACGCUCCGAAAGGAGUGCUAAUACCGGAUACUCACACCGAGGCACAUGCCUUGGUGUGGAAAGUUGUUCGGAAAGGGAUGGAGUCGCGGCCUAUCAGCUUGUUGGUGAGGUAACGGCUCACCAAGGCGACGACGGGUAGCCGGCCUGAGAGGGCGACCGGCCACACUGGGACGGAGACACGGCCCAGACUCCUACGGGAGGCAGCAGUGGGGAAUAUUGCACAAUGGGCGCAAGCCUGAUGCAGCGGCGCCGCGUGAGGGAUGAAGGUCUUCGGAUUGUAAACCUCUUUCAGUAGGGACGAAGCGAAAGUGACGGUACCUAAAGAAGAAGCACCGGCUAACUACGUGCCAGCAGCCGCGGUAA
rnacentral:rRNA from 1 species